UACAAUUAAUGCAUUGAUUCAAAUAGUCAUGCUGUUAUUGUUUAUUAUAUUGAAAAUGUAUAAGCUAUUUGCGGUGUCUGUAUUUUCUUCUGCAGAUAGACAGUAUAGCUGUCCAAUUGUCGGCAGCGAAAAUGGUCGAUGGCUUGUUUAACAGACUGCUGAUGUUGCAGAUACAGACAGGAAGAUUAGUUACUACUUUCUUGUUGCUGACCCCUAGGGAUUCAGUGAUGCCUGUACCAGUACCACAUCAACAUGCCAAUGUCAUCAGCUGAGCAGUUUGAUGGUCUGGAAUAUAGCUACCACAGGGUGAGAACUACGGUCGUCUGCGGUGAGCCAGCGGAAGGAGGGCUAGCUCUGUCACCUGGAGGAGUACACCUGGCCCUGUCAGCCAUAACAGAGCUUACUAAUCCAGAGAUAUCACUUCAUUUACCUGGGAUUAAUUUUCACAUGUUUUGACAAAAAGCUUUAGAGCAGUUGGUCCCAGGAAAACUGUGCGGCUGAGAGUUAGGUGUACACCUAAAACUAAUGAGGACAUGCCCUGUUUUGACAAAAAGCUAUAGAGCAGUUGGUCCCGAGGAGGAGAACGGUGUGACUGAGUGUACACCUAUAACUAAUGAGGACCAGCUCACGCCUCACCCUACCGCCCAACCAAUCUAACGGUUGUUAUGUCAUCACUCUGUGGGUACAUAUCCUAGCACGGUCUGUCAAAUCUGUCGCCUCCAACAGUGACAAGUAGAACUUUUUCAUUUAUCAUUAAAAAUAAUGGUAAAACCAACCUUUGAUAUUUUUACUGUGUAAUCUCUUGGUUCUUAGGCUGUUCUGACAAUAGACAGUGAAAGCACAUCAACUUGGGCUAGGUACUGAUCAUAAGUCAUAACGGUAUAUGCUACAUUACAUUUUGUAUCUGCGAUUGAGUUAUCUCCCUUUUGUAUUUAAUUAGCAUUAUCUUAAUAAUUUGUU